rnacentral:rRNA from 1 species
ACUAGCGUUGUUCGGAAUCACUGGGCGUAAAGCGCACGUAGGCGGAUGUGUCAGUCAGGGGUGAAAUCCCGGGGCUCAACCUCGGAACUGCCUUUGAUACAGCACGUCUCGAGUCCGGAAGAGGUGGGUGGAAUUCCUAGUGUAGAGGUGAAAUUCGUAGAUAUUAGGAAGAACACCGGUGGCGAAGGCGGCCCACUGGUCCGGUACUGACGCUGAGGUGCGAAAGCGUGGGGAGCAAACAGG